rnacentral:lncRNA from 1 species
CACACAACAUAGACAUUAAAGAUAGGAAAGUGAAGGCAAACUCUAUUGUAUUCUACUAAAGGAAGAAUCCUCAGCAUUGUGACAUUCUGCUAAAAGUAACUCCAACUUGGAAAAGCCCUUCCUCUGGCUUGCUACAAAACUAAUUGGAGAUCCUAACUUGGAGUUUGUUGCCAUGCUUGCCCUUGCCCCACAAGAGGUUGUCAUGGACCCAGCUUUGGCAGCACAAUAUAUCAUGAUUUACAGGUUGUUCAAAUGUUCUCCCGGAUGAGAAUGAUG